rnacentral:rRNA from 1 species
AGCUCUCCGAGUGGUGUGGAUGUUUAUUGGGCCUAAAGCAUCCGUAGCUGGCCAAGCAAGUCCCUUGUUAAACCCACCGAAUUAAUCGUUGGAUUGCGGGGGAUACUGCUCGGCUAGGGGACGAGAGAGGCAGACGGUAUUUUCGGGGUAGGGGUGAAAUCCUAUAAUCCCGGGAAGACCACCAGUGGCGAAGGCUGUCUGCUAGAACGCGCCCGACGGUGAGGGAUGAAAGCUGGGGGAGCGAACC